rnacentral:lncRNA from 1 species
CUGGCAACAUGCGAGGGAAGACAAAGCUGUGGCACUAGCAAGACCGUCCUGGACACCCUGAGUUUUCAGAAGCUGGUUACACAAUCCAGUCUCUGAAAUAGAGUAAGGUGGGGAGCCAUAGCCCUGGCCGGUGUCACCCGGGAUCUACAGGUGCCAACAACAGAAACCCAGUCUUGCCAUUUAAGUGGAAAUGACCUGAUUGCAGGAGCCAGCCUGAAGGGCCAGAGACGGCUCGGGCAUCGACAGUCUGCUCUUCCUGUUACACGACUCAGGAACCCAGCCUGGGGGCAAUUAUCCAGGCUCCAAGGAGACAUUGCAUUUCCCUGGGAGCCCCUGAUGGCGCUCGGUGCCCAACGAGGCCUCAUGCAGGAUGGGAGGAAUGGCCUCAUGCUUUCUCCUGGCGGCCCCCUCCCUGGGCCAGCACACCAUCCACCCCUGCUGCACCCAGAUGCCACAAGCCGCAGUGCGGACUUGCCGCCGCCUGGUCUUGCCGUUGCUCAGACCCUCACUGACCACCCUCAGUGGUCACCUCAGAGCGGACCGAGAAAGAAA